CCUACGGGGGGCAGCAGUGGGGAAUAUUGCACAAUGGGCGCAAGCCUGAUGCAGCCAUGCCGCGUGUAUGAAGAAGGCCUUCGGGUUGUAAAGUACUUUCAGCGGGGAGGCGUUACCCGCAGAAGAAGCACCGGCUAACUCCGUGCCAGCAGCCCGGUAAUACGGAGGGUGCAAGCGUUAAUCGGAAUUACGGGCGUAAAGCGCACGCAGGCGGUCUGUAAGUCGGAUGUGAAAUCCCCGGGCUCAACCUGGGAACUGCAUUCGAAACUGCAGGCUAGAGUCUUGUAGAGGGGGGUAGAAUUCCAGGUGUAGCGGUGAAAUGCGUAGAGAUCUGGAGGAAUACCGGUGGCGAAGGCGGCCCCCUGGACAAAACUGACGCUCAGGUGCGAAAGCGUGGGGAGCAAACAGGAUUAGAUACCCUUGUAGUC
rnacentral:rRNA from 1 species